CUAUCCAUAACCAGUAAAAACAGGUAUAUAAAAGUAUAGAAACACUAUUAUUGUUUGUGACCAUUUCAGCAUUGUUAAUGGCUAACUGGCAGUUAAUAGCAGGUAAUUAUAAAUAUAAGACAUGGGAAUGUGGUUUCCCUACAAGGCAGCUGUGUUUCUUGUUAAGAUACUACUCUGAUUAAUUGUCAACAAUUCAUGGUUUAGUAAAUUACUGAUUAGCCUUUUACUUUGCAUCUUCACCUAUCACGCUUUCAUUUCAUUCUUCUUUCAUAAUGUGCAUCAACACCAUCAGAUUAAAGGGACAUUGUAGGCACUAUAACAGUUGUAUCUUAUUGAAGUCCUACAUCCUUUCCUGCCACCCAAAACUCCUUGUUUUAAAAAAAAAAAAGGAAGACUUGAAAGUAUGGCAUCAUGCCACGCCUCCAAGCCUUCUUGGUAUGAAAGCUGGGACUG